rnacentral:rRNA from 1 species
GAACGCUGGCGGCAGGCCUAACACAUGCAAGUCGAACGGUAACAGGAAGCAGCUUGCUGCUUGCUGACGAGUGGCGGACGGGUGAGUAAUGUCUGGGAAACUGCCUGAUGAGGGGGAUAACUACUGGAAACGGUAGCUAAUACCGCAUAACGUCGCAAGACCAAAGAGGGGGACCUUCGGGCCUCUUGCCAUCAGAUGUGCCCAGAUGGGAUUAGCUUGUUGGUGGGGUAACGGCUCACCAAGGCGACGAUCCCUAGCUGGUCUGAGAGGAUGACCCAGCCACACUGGAACUGAGACACGGUCCAGACUCCUACGGGAGGCAGCAGUGGGGAAUAUUGCACAAUGGGCGCAAGCCUGAUGCAGCCAUGCCGCGUGUAUGAAGAAGGCCUUCGGGUUGUAAAGUACUUUCAGCGGGGAGGAAGGUGUUGUGGUUAAUAACCACAGCAAUUGACGUUACCCGCAGAAGAAGCACCGGCUAACUCCGUGCCAGCCGCCGC